GCCUCUGCCUCCUGAGUGAUGAGAUUUCAGGCAUGCGCUGUAAGACCCCCUUUCGGGGACCCCCACUCUAGUCUCGGGAGUGUGAGAGCACCCAAAGAAACACGAGGACCC
rnacentral:pre_miRNA from 7 species